GAUAUGACCUGAUUGGAUUCCUGUUUCAGAAUAGAUCUCACAUAUAAAACUGAUCAAAAUAUUUAUUUAACAAAAGACCUUUUACGUCAUCAUGGUGAUUUUGAUGAAAUCAUACCAGAUCAUCAGUUUUCCAUUUUAACCCUCACAGCUCGUCUGACUGUGAGUCCCAGCAGCUCUCAGUUCUUUGAAUAUGACUUUGUGUCUCUGAGCUGUGAGGACGACAGCUCUGCUGGAUGGACUCUGAGGAGAAACACAAGCACACGACAGAGGACUCAGUGUGGAGAUGGGUGGGGAAAACCAGCUAAUUCUUCCUGUAACAUCACUGUUUUCCCUCAUGAAAGUGGAGUUUACUGGUGUGAGUCCAGAGAGGGUCCCAUCAGUAACAUGGUUAACCUGACAGUCACUGGUGGAUCAGUGAUCCUGCAGAGUCCUGUCCUCCCUGUGAUGGA